UACGUAGGGCGCAAGCGUUAUCCGGAAUUAUUGGGCGUAAAGAGCUCGUAGGCGGUUUGUCGCGUCUGCCGUGAAAGUCCGGGGCUCAACUCCGGAUCUGCGGUGGGUACGGGCAGACUAGAGUGAUGUAGGGGAGACUGGAAUUCCUGGUGUAGCGGUGAAAUGCGCAGAUAUCAGGAGGAACACCGGUGGCGAAGGCGCCACUCUGGGCCGAAACUGACGCUGAGGAGCGAAAGCGUGGGUAGCAAACAGG
rnacentral:rRNA from 1 species